rnacentral:ncRNA from 1 species
GCGCAUACGGUGGAUGCCUUGUGCAGUCAGAGGCGAUGAGAGACGUGGUAGCCUGCGAUAAGCUCCGGGGAGUCGGCAAACAGACUUUGAUCCGGGGAUCUCUGAAUGGGGGAACCCACUCAGCAUAAGCUGAGUAUCUUGUACUGAAUACAUAGGUACAUGAGGCGAACCAGGGGAACUGAAACAUCUAAGUACCCUGAGGAAAAGAAAUCACCCGAGAUUCCCUUAUUAGUGGCGAGCGAACGGGGACCAGCCCUUAAGUUGAUUUGAGAGUAGCGGAACGCUCUGGAAAGUGCGGCCAUAGUGGGUGAUAGCCCUGUACGCGAAACGCUCUUAUCAAUGAAAUCGAGUAGGACGGGGCACGAGAAACCCUGUCUGAAUAUGGGGGGACCAUCCUCCAAGGCUAAAUACUCCUGACUGACCGAUAGUGAACCAGUACCGUGAGGGAAAGGCGAAAAGAACCCCGGAGAGGGGAGUGAAAUAGAACCUGAAACCGUAUGCGUACAAGCAGUGGGAGCCCACUUUGUUGGGUGACUGCGUACCUUUUGUAUAAUGGGUCAGCGACUUAUUUUCAGUGGCGAGCUUAACCGAAUAGGGGAGGCGUAGCGAAAGCGAGUCUUAAUAGGGCGUCUAGUCGCUGGGAAUAGACCCGAAACCGGGCGAUCUAUCCAUGAGCAGGUUGAAGGUUAGGUAACACUGACUGGAGGACCGAACCCACUUCCGUUGAAAAGGCAGGGGAUGACUUGUGGAUCGGAGUGAAAGGCUAAUCAAGCUCGGAGAUAGCUGGUUCUCCUCGAAAGCUAUUUAGGUAGCGCCUCAUGUAUCACUCUGGGGGGUAGAGCACUGUUUCGGCUAGGGGGUCAUCCCGACUUACCAAACCGAUGCAAACUCCGAAUACCCAGAAGUGCCGAGCAUGGGAGACACACGGCGGGUGCUAACGUCCGUCGUGAAAAGGGAAACCACCCAGACCGUCAGCUAAGGUCCCAAAGUCAUGGUUAAGUGGGAAACGAUGUGGGAAGGCUUAGACAGCUAGGAGGUUGGCUUAGAAGCAGCCACCCUUUAAAGAAAGCGUAAUAGCUCACUAGUCGAGUCGGCCUGCGCGGAAGAUGUAACGGGGCUCAAACCAUGCACCGAAGCUACGGGUAUCACUUAGGUGAUGCGGUAGAGGAGCGUUCUGUAAGCCUGUGAAGGUGAGUUGAGAAGCUUGCUGGAGGUAUCAGAAGUGCGAAUGCUGACAUGAGUAACGACAAUGGGAGUGAAAAACUCCCA